rnacentral:rRNA from 1 species
AAACCAACCGGGAUUGCCUUAGUAACGGCGAGUGAAGCGGCAAAAGCUCAAAUUUGAAAUCUGGUACCUUCGGUGCCCGAGUUGUAAUUUGGAGAGGGCAACUUUGGGGCCGUUCCUGUCUAUGUUCCUUGGAACAGGACGUCAUAGAGGGUGAGAAUCCCGUGUGGCGAGGAGUGCGGUUCUUUGUAAAGUGCCUUCGAAGAGUCGAGUUGUUUGGGAAUGCAGCUCUAAGUGGGUGGUAAAUUCCAUCUAAAGCUAAAUAUUGGCGAGAGACCGAUAGCGAACAAGUACAGUGAUGGAAAGAUGAAAAGAACUUUGAAAAGAGAGUGAAAAAGUACGUGAAAUUGUUGAAAGGGAAGGGCAUUUGAUCAGACAUGGUGUUUUGUGCCCUCUGCUCCUUGUGGGUAGGGGAAUCUCGCAUUUCACUGGGCCAGCAUCAGUUUUGGUGGCAGGAUAAAUCCAUAGGAAUGUAGCUUGCCUCGGUAAGUAUUAUAGCCUGUGGGAAUACUGCCAGCUGGGACUGAGGACUGCGACGUAAGUCAAGGAUGCUGGCAUAAUGGUUAUAUGCCGC